GUGACAGAGAAACUUAUAUAUGACGUUAAUAAUCUUUUAAAUGUUUUUAAGACGUAUUCACCCCAUUUUGGGGUUUUAUUUUUAAUUAAAGGCUUCUUAAAACAUGUGUGAAUAUGUGUAUAUUAUACAAAGAGUCUUAUAUUGUCUGCUCUGACAAAAAUAAAGUAUUUUUUUAGGUUUAGGGGAAUUGACUGCGUGUGUCUUAUAAAUACAACUUGAUAAUACGUUUGUUUUGUAAAGAGACUUCUUUAAAGUCACGCAAGAAUAAAAUAUUUUAGUUGUAACUGGUUAAACUUAAAGCCGAUAUUUUCUAUCGAACUAGUCUAUUUUCUGUUCAGACACAAAGUUUUCUGAUGCUGAUAUUAUGUCAGUGUGUGUUUGUGUGGGGGUCGUGUGAUGUAAUCUUUGAAAGUUUAUGACCGAACCUUUAUUGGGGAGCGACAAGAGAUCUCCCGGAAUCAGUUUGGAUGGAGCAGAGCUGUUAUACUCAAGUCUAUUGCGAAAUUGUCUAAACUGGUAUUAACUAUUCCUGGUAAAUCGCGGAGAAGAGUGGCCUGAACAAAAAAGUCAGACCGAGACUAGAACCUCCCGCAGCGUAACACGGAAAUCUUGGAACAAAAGAGACGCCGACUGGCUCGUGUUGUCCGGUUUGGAUAUCAGAGGCAAAGCGAACGUUGUGUGUACUAUUGCAAAAUAUAUAGCGGAUCUCCACGGUACGUUUAUC